CAGCAGUCGGUGAUGUUGAGAGUUUGAGAACAUCAGACAAAAGGUCUGAGACAGUGCUCUGAGCAACUACCAUGCACUAUCUGAUUUCGCCCUCACAUCAACAUUCUGAGAGACCCAGUUGUUAAACAUUUACAAGCACACUGCUGGACACAGCCAGCCUGAGGCAACCUCUCAAUGUGGGAGCUAAGAAAACUCACUCACUCUCAAGUUAGGAAGAGGACCAACUCAACCAGGAAGCCAAACACAGGGGCCUCUUGACUCAAUUAAUUGCUCUUGACUUCCUCUAGUCAAACCAUCCCCUGGGGGAGACAGCAAGUGAAGGAGGGUGGAGCGUGGAUCCAGCACAGCAAGGCUGCGUAUCAAGUAUGAUUCUCCAGCUCCUUCCGCGAACAACCACAUAGAUGGCGAUUCAAUUCACUGGGCACUGAAAAAAGACAAAGUAUCACUUGUCACAAUCUCUUUUAAUUAUAAUUUUGUACCCAUCCAUAUCUCUCCUGCUUCCCCACACCAGUGGGGGUAACUUUGGCAAACAGCCGAAAACUGGAUUUUCUAGUAGAGUCAGAGAAUGAGUUCAUUUUUUUGUUUAACUUUUUUAAAACAAUAGAGACUGACUCUAAUUGAGAGAAUUUAUUAGAAAGGUGUGAGAGAGCUCAGAGACUUGAAAAAGGACUUGAAGAACGAGGCUCAUGAAGGCAGAAACAGGGCAACUCUGAAUCACCCAAAUGGUAGGAAGUAAUCAAUGAUCUCAGAGCACCUUUGAUGAAGAAAAUCCUUCUCCAAUUUUUUUUUCUUUCAUAACAGUCCUUGAGUUAUUCUGUUCAAGAUGCACUGUUGGAAGGCUUCCCUGGUAGUCCAGUGGUUAAGAAUCUGCCUUGCAUUGCAAGGGACACCAGUUCCAUCCCUGGUCUGGGGCGAUCCCACAUGCCAGAGAGCAACUAAGCCCAUGCACCACAACUACUGAGCUUGCGCUCUAGAGCCCAGGAGCCGCAACUACUGAGCCCACGUACCUAGAGCCUGUGCUCCACAACAAGAGAAGCAAAUGCAAUGAGAAGCCUGCACACUGCAAUGAAGAGUAGCCCCUACUCACUGCAACCAGAGAAAGCCCUUGUGCAACAACAAAGACCCACCACAGCCAAAAAAUAAAAUAAAUAUAUCUUAAAAAAAAAAAAAAAAGAUGCACUGUCUUAGAGUAAAAUUCUAUUGGCCAGCUUCAGUCACUAACUACUCUUGGCAAGGAGAAGCCAAGGGUUCCUUAACAGGCUCACUGGGACUCACAAUAAGGAGCCAGGAAUCCCCAAAAAGGGAUUCAUAAUUAAGAACAGGAGGGCAAAUGGAUGCUGGGAAGCCAAGGAGCAGCAAAUGUCCACUACAGCCUGGGACAUGACUUUGCUCCAGGAUCCCUCCUCAUUUGGCAGGUUGAGAAGUCAUGAUUCAAACAGAAGAGACAGUCCCUUGCUUCACCCCACUCACCCUGAGCCUGUGAUGGAGACAAGACGGCCUGCCCUCUGGAAAAGGGACACCACCACACUUUGGCACAUCUGCUUGUUCAGAAUGUUCCCCAAACGUUAACAGCUGCAGCUGGGCCUACCAAGGGGAUUCUUCAGUGACAC